rnacentral:lncRNA from 1 species
AUGGCUGAAUGAAACACAACCUUGCCUGCAGACAUCAAAGCCUGUCUCCAGCCGUAGCAGGCUCUGCCUCCAGCCUUUCGUCUCUCCGGCAUUUGUAAAAUGUUGAUGGCCAAGCAUGAUACCUCAUGCCUGAGACGCCAGCUCUCAGGAGGCCCCCGGCAAGUUCAAGGCCAGCUUGCUCUACAUGAUCCAAAGAAGCGUCUUUCUCUGAUUCCUUUUAUCUGGAAGAACUGAGAGGAGACGGGCGAACGGUUGUGAGAAUCUCUUUAAGGGGCAGUCCUGGAAUGAGUGAAGUGCACCGCUGACUCCUGGCCGCCUGUCUCUCCUAUGGCCUGGCAUCUUCACAGAUGCAGAUUUUGAAAAUGCAUUUCUCCUUUAUCUGAGAGCCCCUCCUGCCCCCUCCUCCAGGACCGACACACUAUGCGUGGAACCUGUGAUGCUAGGCCAUCCUUCCUAUGGUUUGACAUAUUGUCUCACCAGUAAAGGGUAGAGCUGGAACCCACCAUGAAAUCCUGGCCCAGCAAAAUACGUGCCCUAGAGAAGAAGGACCACAAACUCAAGGUCACCUGGGGCUACAUACUUAAGAUCCAGUCUCAAAACUCCAAAUCAAACAAAAAUUGCGCUAAUAAUAAAUUGUAGGAAGUAAGAAGAUGACACCAGGUAGCAGGUCUCAGGCAGCCUCUUUCUGGCUUUAGACUCAUGAUGGCUUAGAGUAGUUUUGAACUCCCAGUAUCAUCUUCUAAAUGUGCAUCUCGACAAAAAAAAAAGGAAUGACUUCGCCGGGCGUGGUGGCGCACACCUUUAAUCCCAGCACUCGGGAGGCAGAGGCAGGCGGAUUUCUGAAUUCGAGGCUAGCCUGGUCUACAAAGUGAGCUCCAGGACAGCCAGGGCUAUACAGAGAAACCCUGUCUCGAGAAAAAAAAAAAAAAAAAAGGAAUGAUUUCUCUGAGAUAGGGCCACAUGUAGCCCAGGCAACCCUCAAACUGUGAAGUCACAGAUUAUCUGAUCCUCCUGCCUCCACCUCCCAGUGUAAUUAAAAGUACAGCUAGCCUGGUGGCACGCCAUGCCUGACAUAGAGAGAGCAUGCAUCCAACUAAGGGCUUCAUUCUUACUAAGGCAAGCAUUCUGCCUACUGAGCUACAUACAUCCCCGGUGCAGAGAGGAAUAUUUAUUAAGCCUUCAUCCCUUCCAUAAUUGGACAAUGUAUUGUCUUGAUGUUCUGAUGGGCAGGAAGUUAUUUAGGCAGUAUAUAAACUGUCAUACUACACAGGGCAAAAAUAUUGCUUGUUUUCAAAAAAACAUUAGAAUACAGUAAAAUGCACC